AGCGGGGUGGGAAAGCCAGGCAUUCCGCCGGGCUCAUAACCCGGAGGUCGGUGGUUCAAAUCCACCCCCCGCUA
rnacentral:tRNA from 2 species